rnacentral:rRNA from 1 species
AGACCCGAAACCCGGUGAUCUAGCCAUGGGCAGGUUGAAGGUUGGGUAACACUAACUGGAGGACCGAACCGACUAAUGUUGAAAAAUUAGCGGAUGACCUGUGGCUGGGGGUGAAAGGCCAAUCAAACCGGGAGAUAGCUGGUUCUCCCCGAAAGCUAUUUAGGUAGCGCCUCGUGAAUUCAUCUCCGGGGGUAGAGCACUGUUUCGGCUAGGGGGCCAUCCCGGCUUACCAACCCGAUGCAAACUGCGAAUACCGGAGAAUGUUAUCACGGGAGACACACGGCGGGUGCUAACGUCCGUCGUGAAGAGGGAAACAACCCAGACCGCCAGCUAAGGUCCCAAAGUCAUGGUUAAGUGGGAAACGAUGUGGGAAGGCCCAGACAGCCAGGAUGUUGGCUUAGAAGCAGCCAUCAUUUAAAGAAAGCGUAAUAGCUCACUGGUCGAGUCGGCCUGCGCGGAAGAUGUAACGGGGCUAAACCAUGCACCGAAGCUGCGGCAGCGAACGUAUCACUUAAAGCGAUUCAGCGGGUUACGAUUGACGGAGCGAAGCGACGUCAAAGCGUAUACAAAGUCGAGUCGGUUUAAGGAUACGUUCGUUGGGUAGGGGAGCGUUCUGUAAGCCUGUGAAGGUGGCCUGUGAGGGUUGCUGGAGGUAUCAGAAGUGCGAAUGCUGACAUAAGUAACGAUAAAGCGGGUGAAAAGCCCGCUCGCCGGAAGACCAAGGGUUCCUGUCCAACGUUAAUCGGGGCAGGGUGAGUCGACCCCUAAGGCGAGGCCGAAAGGCGUAGUCGAUGGGAAACGGGUUAAUAUUCCCGUACUUGGUGUUACUGCGAAGGGGGGACGGAGAAGGCUAUGUUGGCCGGGCGACGGUUGUCCCGGUUUAAGCGUGUAGGCUGGUUUUCCAGGCAAAUCCGGAAAAUCAAGGCUGAGGCGUGAUGACGAGGCACUACGGUGCUGAAGCAACAAAUGCCCUGCUUCCAGGAAAAGCCUCUAAGCAUCAGGUAACAUCAAAUCGUACCCCAAACCGACACAGGUGGUCAGGUAGAGAAUACCAAGGCGCUUGAGAGAACUCGGGUGAAGGAACUAGGCAAAAUGGUGCCGUAACUUCGGGAGAAGGCACGCUGACACGUAGGUGAAGUGAUUUACUCAUGGAGCUGAAGUCAGUCGAAGAUACCAGCUGGCUGCAACUGUUUAUUAAAAACACAGCACUGUGCAAACACGAAAGUGGACGUAUACGGUGUGACGCCUGCCCGGUGCCGGAAGGUUAAUUGAUGGGGUCAGCGCAAGCGAAGCUCCUGAUCGAAGCCCCGGUAAACGGCGGCCGUAACUAUAACGGUCCUAAGGUAGCGAAAUUCCUUGUCGGGUAAGUUCCGACCUGCACGAAUGGCGUAAUGAUGGCCAGGCUGUCUCCACCCGAGACUCAGUGAAAUUGAACUCGCUGUGAAGAUGCAGUGUACCCGCGGCAAGACGGAAAGACCCCGUGAACCUUUACUAUAGCUUGACACUGAACAUUGAGCCUUGAUGUGUAGGAUAGGUGGGAGGCUUUGAAGUGUGGACGCCAGUCUGCAUGGAGCCGACCUUGAAAUACCACCCUUUAAUGUUUGAUGUUCUAACGUGGACCCGUGAUCCGGGUUGCGGACAGUGUCUGGUGGGUAGUUUGACUGGGGCGGUCUCCUCCUAAAGAGUAACGGAGGAGCACGAAGGUUGGCUAAUCCUGGUCGGACAUCAGGAGGUUAGUGCAAUGGCAUAAGCCAGCUUGACUGCGAGCGUGACGGCGCGAGCAGGUGCGAAAGCAGGUCAUAGUGAUCCGGUGGUUCUGAAUGGAAGGGCCAUCGCUCAACGGAUAAAAGGUACUCCGGGGAUAACAGGCUGAUACCGCCCAAGAGUUCAUAUCGACGGCGGUGUUUGGCACCUCGAUGUCGGCUCAUCACAUCCUGGGGCUGAAGUAGGUCCCAAGGGUAUGGCUGUUCGCCAUUUAAAGUGGUACGCGAGCUGGGUUUAGAACGUCGUGAGACAGUUCGGUCCCUAUCUGCCGUGGGCGCUGGAGAACUGAGGGGGGCUGCUCCUAGUACGAGAGGACCGGAGUGGACGCAUCACUGGUGUUCGGGUUGUCAUGCCAAUGGCACUGCCCGGUAGCUAAAUGCGGAAGAGAUAAGUGCUGAAAGCAUCUAAGCACGAAACUUGCCCCGAGAUGAGUUCUCCCUGAGACUUAGAGUCUCCUGAAGGAACGUUGAAGACGACGACGUUGAUAGGCCGGGUGUGUAAGCGCAGCGAUGCGUUGAGCUAACCGGUACUAAUGAACCGUGAGGCUUAACCUUACA